rnacentral:rRNA from 1 species
AUUGAACGCUGGCGGCAGGCCUAACACAUGCAAGUCGAGCGGAUGAAGGGAGCUUGCUCCUGGAUUCAGUGGCGGACGGGUGAGUAAUGCCUAGGAAUCUGCCUGGUAGUGGGGGAUAACGUCCGGAAACGGGCGCUAAUACCGCAUACGUCCUGAGGGAGAAAGUGGGGGAUCUUCGGACCUCACGCUAUCAGAUGAGCCUAGGUCGGAUUAGCUAGUUGGUGGGGUAAAGGCCUACCAAGGCGACGAUCCGUAACUGGUCUGAGAGGAUGAUCAGUCACACUGGAACUGAGGCACGGUCCAGACUCCUACGGGAGGCAGCAGUGGGGAAUAUUGGACAAUGGGCGAAAGCCUGAUCCAGCCAUGCCGCGUGUGUGAAGAAGGUCUUCGGAUUGUAAAGCACUUUAAGUUGGGAGGAAGGGCAGUAAGUUAAUACCUUGCUGUUUUGACGUUACCAACAGAAUAAGCACCGGCUAACUUCGUG